rnacentral:rRNA from 1 species
UACGUAGGGCGCAAGCGUUGUCCGGAAUUAUUGGGCGUAAAGAGCUCGUAGGCGGUUUGUCGCGUCUGCUGUGAAAUCCCGAGGCUCAACCUCGGGUCUGCAGUGGGUACGGGCGGGCUGGAGUUCGGUAGGGGAGACUGGAAUUCCUGGUGUAGCGGUGAAAUGCGCAGAUAUUGGGAAGAACACCGGUGGCGAAGGCGACCAACUGGACCGACAUUGACACUGAGGCACGAAAGCGUGGGUAGCAAACAGG